AAGCGUGCGCAGGCGGUUUUGUAAGACUGUCGUGAAAUCCCCCGGGCUCAACCUGGGAAUGGCGAUGGUGACUGCAAGGCUAGAGUUUGGCAGGAGGGGGUAGAAUUCCACGUGUAGCAGUGAAAUGCGUAGAUAUGUGGAGGAACACCGAUGGCGAAGGCAGCCCCCUGGGUCAAAACUGACGCUCAUGCACGAAAGCGUGGGGAGCAAACAGGAUUAGAUACCCCAGU
rnacentral:rRNA from 1 species